UGAAAGACACUCACAUUUCCUGCCUCUGAACUUGAAAGAGACGGAUGGGGUUCCCCAUUGUGUUUGGUGGAGAAGCAGAUUGUGUGUUCUUUUUGGUGGAAACACUGUGGCUUGCAAAGAGGAUGGACAAGCUUUUUGCAGAGUCAUACCCUAGAGCCAGGGCCAACGUCCAUAAACCUAAUCCCACAGUCUGAA